GAUGAACGCUAGCGGCAGGCCUAACACAUGCAAGUCGAGGGGUAGCAGGGUAGCAAUAUCGCUGACGACCGGCGCACGGGUGAGUAACGCGUAUGCAACCUUCCUUUAACUGGGGCAUAGCCCGGAGAAAUUCGGAUUAAUACCCCAUAAUAUUUCAGAGACACAUGUUUUUGGAAUUAAAGCUCCGGCGGUUAAAGACGGGCAUGCGUGCCAUUAGCUAGUUGGUGAGGUAACGGCUCACCAAGGCUACGAUGGUUAGGGGGUCUGAGAGGAUGAUCCCCCACACUGGUACUGAGACACGGACCAGACUCCUACGGGAGGCAGCAGUGAGGAAUAUUGGGCAAUGGGCGCAAGCCUGACCCAGCCAUGCCGCGUGAAGGAUGAAUGCCCUAUGGGUUGUAAACUUCUUUUGUACGGGACGAAACUUUUGGUCGUGACCGAAAUUGACUGUACCGUAUGAAUAAGCAUCGGCUAACUCCGUGCCAGCAGCCGCCGUAACAC
rnacentral:rRNA from 1 species